CCGGCGGGUAGUGACUCGCUAUUCCCAUCACAGGAGCCAUUAAAAUGGCAAAUGUAAUAACGUAAGGGAAAAUAAUGAUAUUACCUUACUAUAAGUGUUGUCCAAAACUGGUGCCAGAAGACUCGGUAAGGCCAGAGACGCAAACGUUAGUCGUCUUAAUCAGGCGUAAAGGGUAUGUAGGCUGCUUUAAAAGUUUUAAUAUUAAUAGCUAUUUGUAAGUAGAAUUAAAAAAACUUACUUAAAAAAAUAUAAUAUGAAUUAAAGCUAGGAUCAAAUUGAGGAUAAUUAAAAUAAUACUUAGUGUAGGGUUUAAAUCUGAUGAUACUAGGGGGAGUACUAACGGUGAAAGCUUUUAUCUAGAAAUGAUUGACGCUGAGAAACGAAGGUGAGAAUAGGAAAUAGGAUUAGAUACCCAGAUACCUCUCACAGUCAACGAUGAAUGGUGGUUGUUAGUUUUUUUAAAUUAACUGAUAACGAUGUUAACACGAUAACCAUUCCGCCUUGCGAGUACGGUUGCAAAACUGAAACCAAAAAAAUUAGUCGGUCUCGAAGCAAACGAAGUGAAGCAUGUUAUUUAUUG
rnacentral:rRNA from 1 species